GCCACUGUGGUGUAGUGGUUUGAAUGUUGGAUUAUGACUCUGGACACCAGGGUUUGAAUCCUGGCUCUGACA
rnacentral:tRNA from 1 species